CAUCUUAGUUGGUAGAGCAUCAGACUGUGGUGACACUGUAAUCUGAGGGUCUCCGGAUCGACUCCGGAAGG